rnacentral:rRNA from 1 species
UACGUAGGGGGCAAGCGUUGUCCGGAUUUAUUGGGCGUAAAGAGCGUGUAGGCGGCUUUACAGGUCCGCUGUGAAAACUCGAGGCUCAACCUCGAGCUGUCGGUGGAAACCGUAAAGCUAGAGUCCGGAAGAGGAGAGUGGAAUUCCCGGUGUAGCGGUGAAAUGCGCAGAUAUCGGGAAGAACACCCGUGGCGAAGGCGGCUCUCUGGGACGGUACUGACGCUGAGACGCGAAAGCGUGGGGAGCGAACAGG